rnacentral:piRNA from 1 species
UGUUGGGCCUUAGAAAAACCACAUUGUU